UUUUCAAAACCCCUAUAGCUCGUGAGCAUAUGCUACAUACCUGGCUCUGUGCUACAUGCUGGGGCUGUAGAGAAAGAUAAAGAAGAUCUCUCCCCCGAGAGGUUAAUGGUCCAGUGAAGAAGAGAGACACAUCAACAGAUGGUUGCGGUAGCAUGUGAAAAAUGCUGCAUGUAUUUACUUAGCUCUGUGGCCUUGGGCAAGUUUCUUAACCUUGUAAUGCCUCUGUUUCCCCUAUCUAAAAUUGGGAUUAUCUUACAGGGGGAUUCUGAAGCUUAGCUGGGUGUUUAGUGUCUGGGGCACAGUAAAGGCCACAGCAGUGCUAAGUCUUGUCGUUGCCUUAGAAGCAGACCCUGAGAAAGCAUUUAAUCGCCCAUAGUUCGCUUGAGAGCUGAAGGAACUGGCAUUAGAGGAGCAAGGCAGCGAGACAGGGAAGGGAAGGCAAUCAGCAGAGGCGACGUUACCAAGCCAGUUUCCACUGAGCAGAGCUGGAGCUUUACCCCACGGAGGAAGCCGCUGGGAGCCAGCAUGGAGCACGAGCCUCGGUUAUUCCCACUCCAGGAUCUCAUUUUGCCCAACGGUGGUACUCCAGCAGGUACUUCAAGUCCAGCUUCUUCAUCUUCCCUUCUCAACAGACUUCAGCUUGAUGAUGAUAUUGAUGGUGAGACUAGAGAUCUCUUCGUUAUAGUUGAUGAUCCCAAGAAGCAUGUGUGUACAAUGGAGACUUACAUCACCUAUAGGAUCACCACCAAAAGUACUCGGGUGGAGUUUGACCUGCCAGAAUAUUCUGUUCGUCGAAGAUACCAGGAUUUUGACUGGUUGAGGAGCAAACUGGAAGAAUCCCAGCCCACUCAUCUCAUUCCCCCUCUUCCCGAGAAGUUUGUGGUAAAAGGUGUUGUGGAUCGUUUUUCAGAAGAGUUUGUGGAGACCAGAAGAAAAGCUUUGGAUAAAUUUCUAAAAAGAAUUACGGACCAUCCUGUGCUGUCUUUCAAUGAACACUUUAAUAUUUUCCUUACUGCUAAGGACCUGAACGCCUACAAGAAGCAAGGGAUAGCAUUGCUGACCAGAAUGGGCGAGUCAGUCAAGCACGUCACUGGCGGCUACAAGCUGAGGACUCGGCCGCUUGAGUUUGCUGCCAUAGGUGACUACUUAGAUACAUUUGCACUCAAACUGGGAACCAUUGAUCGAAUAGCCCAGCGGAUCAUCAAAGAAGAAAUAGAGUACCUUGUGGAGCUGAGAGAAUACGGGCCUGUGUACUCCACAUGGAGCGCCUUGGAGGGUGAGCUGGCUGAACCCCUGGAGGGUGUGUCAGCUUGCAUUGGGAACUGCUCUACAGCCUUAGAAGAGCUGACAGAUGACAUGACAGAAGACUUCCUACCUGUGCUCAGGGAAUAUAUUUUAUACUCUGACUCCAUGAAGAGUGUAUUGAAGAAGAGGGACCAAGUUCAAGCAGAGUAUGAAGCCAAACUGGAAGCUGUGGCUCUGCGGAAGGAAGACCGCCCCAAGGUACCGGCGGACGUCGAGAAAUGUCAGGAUCGGAUGGAGUGUUUCAAUGCUGACCUGAAAGCUGACAUGGAGAGGUGGCAGAACAACAAGAGGCAGGACUUCCGGCAGCUACUCAUGGGGAUGGCUGACAAGAACAUCCAGUAUUAUGAGAAGGCCCAGUUUACCCUCAAUUUACCCUCUUCUACAUCUUCCACAUCUGCACCAAUCUGGGGAGAUGAAGAAACUUCCUAGUGUAGUAGCCAUCAUGACUGGCAGGCAGGCCGACAGCCAGCUGAGGCUGAAGUGCAGUGGCAUGAUCUCAGCUCACUGCAACCUCUGCCUUCCAGGCCCAAGCAGUCCCCCCGCCUCAGUCUCCCGAGUAGCUGGUGCUACAGGUGAUGCUGCUGCUGCUGGCCCAAGAACCCCUGGGUUAGAACAUCUGUUAGAAGAAAUGGUGACCCUGGAAAAGCUGACAAGGUUUGAAACUCCUACCCUGGUGACAGCUGGAGUUGAAAAGGAGCCAAUACUUGGGCUUUGAGAGCUCAGCUCAGGUUAAAAAACACAAGUUUAUAUAGCACGGUCAAUGUGGACAAGGAAUGACAUUUCUCUAAACAGUAAGAGGCUUUUCAGGAGUAGGAACGAUUAGAUUCAUUCAGGCUGAGGAGCUGGUCAAGAGGCUGGACCAGAAGGUAAGGAGUUGGGGAAUGAGCAUAUUGAUGAGUAAGGGUGGAGAGGUUGAACAUGGUCUUGACCUCAUCUUUCCCAUCCUAUCUGCUCUGCUCAUGCUGCCAGACUCUUGGGGUUGGAGGGGGGCGCUACCUUUUUCCCAGUGGCCUGAGCCCCAAAUCUGAGUCAUUCUGGCCUCCAUCUACCUCACCCUCUACCAUCCAUCCAUUAACCAACUCCUGUAGCCUCUAACUCCCAAAUAUUUUUCCAUAUCCAUCUACUUUUCUCCAUGCUUGUAGCUUCCUACCCUACGUCUGCUAUUAUUUUUUUACUUUAAUUUUUUUUUUUAAGAGGCAAUCUUGCUCUCUCACCCAGGCAGGGGUAUAGUGGCCCAGUCAUAGCUCACUGCAGCCUUGAACUCGGGCUCAAGCGAUCCUGUCGUUUUAGCCUCCUGAGUAGCUGGGAUUAUAGGUGCACACCACCAUACCCAGGUAAUUUUAAUUUUUUUUGUAGAGAUAGUGGUCUCGCUAUUUGCUCAGGCUAGUGCUGGAUUCCUGGCCUCAAGUGAUCUUCCUAGCUUGGCCUCCCAGAGUGCUGGGAUUAUAGGCCUGAGCCACCAAGGCUGGCCAGUCAGUCUGCCAUUAUCCUUCACCUGGUUUACUGCAAGGGCUUCACAGCUCAUCUCCUUUCUUCAAGCUUGCUCACUCCUUCCACCAAUUCAUUGUCCUCAGUGUUGCCAGGGAGCUGUUUCUAAGAUGCAAAUUUAAGCACUCUGUGUUCCUGCUUAACACCUUCCAACAGCUAUCCCCAUUUACUCUGAAGAGAAACAUCUUUUUCUUUUGAAAGGAUAUUUUAUGUUAUUCCUCCUUACCACCCCAGUCUCAUCUUACUGUCCUCCGUAAUACUUGUCCUUCCGUCUGCUGCCUUCACACUGAAUUCCUAAACCUUUGAUAUAUUUUCACCUUCAGGCCUUCCAGCAAGUUGUUCCUUCUGCCUGGAAUGUCCCCCAACAUCUGGCCUUAGUAACUGCUACUUACCCUUCCAGCCUUGUCAUAGAAGUCAUUUCUGGGAUGCCCUUCCUGCUCUCCCAAAUCUGGAUUCCGUGCUCCCUUAUAUUAGUGAGGUUGGAGAGGUUGAACGUGAUCUUGAACUUCUUGAACUCAUCUUUCCCAUCCCAUCUGCUCUGCUCAUGUUGCCUGACUCAGUGCAAGGGUGCUGGCUCCUUCCCAGUGGAAGGAGACAUCCCUAUCUGCUGUUCUGUCUGCUUCACCUGAUAGACAGUACACUGUGCUAGGGCAGACACAGUCACGUGCUAUUCUUUCUGUAUCUCAGCACCUAGCAUGGGGCCUGGACCUUAUUAGAUGUGUCAUAGAGUUUUGUUCAUUCCCUGCAAGAGGAUUAGAGAUACAAACUCUCAGAGCCCAAAUACCUUGAAUGUAUUCUGCAGCCGUGUAUUUUAUCCUGUAUAAGAACAUCAAGUCUGUAGUCACAGACAGAAUCUGACCUGGGAAGGAACGAUUCACACACUCAUACAAUGAAUGUUGAUUUUAUUAGGUGAGUCUGCUUUUAUAAAUCCAAGUAAACAAGGUUAUAAAAAUGACUACCUCAAAUAAAAUAGCUCUUAAUGUACCUCCUCUUCCUUCACACCACCCACUUUGGGAAGCACUGUUGACUGGAAGUACUCAAUUGAACAUCCCAUUGAAGAAAGCCUUGUGACAUUUGCUUCUUAAAAGCAACAGUAGUAACAAAACUACCCAGAAGACAAGGGCCUGAGCUCCAUCCCCCUCCUGAGUGUUUGUAGGUAAGGAAGACUCAGGAAAGAAAGCUGACUUUUUUCAAGGUUUUAUUUUAAUUUAAAAGACAUUGUUCGUGCAAAACUGUUGGUAGUUCUUACAAAACAUCCCUUCCACAUUCCCCUCAGGCUGUGAUAAUGCACGCUUUGAGUUCUCCCAUGGGACUUUCAGCACAGCACCCAGGUGACUAGUUAGCUAUACUUUGGAGCCCUCAAGACAGUCCCUUGAAGAAAAGGGGCAGGCUCGCUGUAGCUGGAGUCUGAAGCCCCUCACAGGGCCUGGGACUGCUGUGUGCAGCCUGCCUGUAACCCUUAAGGUCAUGCUCUGCUGUCACAGAACCCAGUGUCUGCCUAAUGGGGGUGUCUUAAAGCUGAGAACGUUUUUCCAUCACCAGGAAAGUGCUUUUCCCCAUCCACCAGGGAUCCCUGAGCCAGAGCAGGUCAUUCUGAGGCCAACUCUGGCUGGAACGCAGGUUUCUUAAGCAGUGGGUUGCUUAGGUCACCAGUUCCCUGGUCCCUUCUUUUGUCUUCUGGGGGCCUGGCCAUGGCUGAUGUUUUCAGUUCCUGCAGGUAAGCAUCUUCAUUUCUCUAUGAUGUCUCCAUAUGGUGACAAUGGGACUUGUUUAUAGGCCACGAUGCUGUAAGAAUUGACCAUAGAGAGUUACAAGAGAACAGCUGGAAUGGGGUAAAGGUGAAACUGCCCUCACAGGGUUAAUGAUAAUUACAAGCCAGGCUUUAGGCAAAAUCAUAGGUAGGCAUUGACCAAGGUGUGCUGGUGCACUGUGACCCAUCUCCCUGCAGCUGCUAGCUAAAAGGAGCAUGUUGACCAUUUGCUUCCCCAUUGUUCCUUUAGAUAGAAUCUCUGGGGGCCAGGCAUGGUGGCUUAUGCCUGUAAUCCCAACAGUUUGGGAGGUUGAGGCAGGUGGAUCACCUGAAGUCAGGAGUUCGAGACCAGCCUGGCCAACCUGGUGAAACCCCAACUCUACUAAAAAUACAAAAAUUAGCUGGGCAUGGUGGCAGGCGCUUGUAAUCCCAGCUACUCGGGAUGCUCAGGCAGGAGAAUCACUUGAACCUGGGAGGCGGAGGUUGCAGUGAGCCAAGAUUGCGCCAUUGCACUCCAGUCUGGGUGACAGACUGAGAUUCUGUCUCAAAAAAAAAAAAAAAAAGAAUCUCUGAUACUGGACCUUUUUACUUAAGAAUUGCUUAAGGUGUUUUUCAGAUCCUGAAUUCCAGCAGAAUGGCUAGUGCCAACCAGCCUGAAGACCCUCACCAAGGAACCAACUCAGCACAGGAAUGCCAUUUCUUCAUCUCCCUGUCCCAUGAUUUCACCCCUCACUUCUUGACCAAUCAGCGAUCCCUACACUAGCUCAUCACCCAUCCAGACCCCUUGGAAGCCCAUCCCCAACCUCCCUGGUAGGUGGGUUUAAGGUUUCCCUCCAUCUCCUUGUUCAGGUGCUGUAUAUCGUUAAACACUUUUUUCUGCUGCAACUCCUGCUCUUUCGGAGUCUGUUACUGUGCAAUGGGCAAUUGAACUUGGUGGUCCUGUAACAAAGGGUGUGCCUUUUCCUCUCCAUCCAUUAGGCCAUCUCUUUAUCACUGGUAGACUGAAAUUUUUUUAUCCAUUUAUGGCAUCAGAAUGGAAUUUAUGGCACUGAGUGGGGAGAGAUUGUCUGAAGGAACUUCUCUUACUCCAGGUUCAUUCCAGUCUUGCAAGUACUGAACUUCUCCAUUUCCCAUAACAUCAUGAGCCCUUUGCAUCCACAUUUUCUUUUUCCUGGAAUCUCUUUCCAUCUCACUUCUGCCUGAGGAUGAACUCCCAUCUAUAUCUCAAGAUCAAGAUUAAGCCUUUGCUAAUUGCAAGCAGAAUUAGCUGCCUCAUCGUCUGCCUUUCCAUAGGUCCUUUAUCCAUUACAUUGUUUAAAAUUAUCUUAAUAAAUGGAUGCGCAGCAAUUAGGUCUGAACUGAAGUCCUGGAUCAGUGUGACUUAGGCAUGUCCUUCAACCUCUGGCACCCUGGGCUUUCUCAUCUGCUGGAGCUCCAGAAUCCUCAGGUUCUAAGCUACAGCGCAGCACUUCUUGAUGGAUGAACAACACCUGGAGUUGCUAAAAUGGGUUGUGCGCUUAGAUCCAAGCCUUUUAAGGGAAACUUUGUAGACACUUCCCAACGCUUAGAUUUCCCGCCUUCUAUGAGUGCUAGUGCACUACUGGGAGGGGCACUGACUGUACUUAAGACUCAUUGUAUUACAGGGCUGGCAAGUGGAGAGUGAAGACUUGGAAGCAGCCAGCACAGGGCCACAUGAUCCUUGACCCCUGCUGUGGACCACUACAGCACAGGCACAAGGCGAUGGCCAGCAUCUGACUUCAUGGGCAGCCCCAGGCAGCUCUGGGGUGUGGGCGGUCAGCAGUGCUGACUUAUUAGUCAGCGUAAGUCAGCGCUGAGAGAUGCUACACCCUCUGACAGGGCAUGCAUUCAUUAAACGAAUUCUUUUUGACUGCUGCUUAUAUGCUAGGAUCUGUGCUGAACACAGAAGAUACAGGGAGAGCCAAAUAGCCAUGGUCUCUGCCCUCAGGGAGCCUUCAGUCUAGUGGGCAAGUGUAAUUAAACAGCUAAUCAUGAAAUCAUCAUCACUGCAUUCUACCAAGGAGAAUAUAGGAAGCUCUGGGAGCAUGUAAUAGAAGGAUCUAAUUUAGAUUGAGAAGGGUUAGGAAAAUUCUCUUUGAGAAAAUGGUGUUUCAGUUAAGACCACAACUAGUUGGGUGGGAAAAAGUUGUGGAUGGAGAAGGGAGAAGAGUGGGAGGGGAGGCGACUGUGGCUGAGGGUUGGGGAGGGUGGUCAAUGGCAGGAAUAGGAGGUGAGAGAGGGUGGCCAGGCCAGCUUAUGCAGGGCUUUGUUGCCCAUAGUAAGACAUUCAUUUUUUGUUGUUGUUGUUUUUGUUUCUUUUUUGAGACAGAGUCUUGCUCUGUCACCCAGGCUGAAGCACAGUGUCAUGAUCUUUGCUCAUUGCAGCCUCAACCUCCUGGGCUCAAGCAAUCCUCGCACAUCAGCCUCCCAACUAGCUGGGACUACAGGCAUGCACCACAAUGCCUAGCUGAUUUAUUAAUUUUUUGUAGAGUUGGGGUCUCACUAUAUUGCCCAGGCUGGUCUCAAGCUUCUAAGCUCAAGCAAUUCCCCCACCUCAGCCUCCCAAAGUGCUGGGAUUACAGGUGUGAGCCACUGCACCCAGCCAAACAUUUGGGUUUUAUCCUAAGAGCAAUGAAAGCCAAGUGCAGGGCUUUCAGCAGGUGAGGACAUGACCUGAUUCACACUUUAAGGACCUUGCUCUGGCCACCUGCUGGAGAGAGGAUGGGAGUGGAGAACAAGAGUGGCUGUAUGGAGAAUGGUUCAGAGGCUAACUCAGUCAUCCAGGUGCUCUGGAUUAGGGGGUAGCAGUAGAGAUAAAAAGAAAAGCAUAAGUUUGAGACAUAUUUUGGAGGUAGAAUCAAUAUAUUAGGCCUGAUUGAUUGGAGGUGGGGGGAGAUGAAGGACAGGUUUCUACCCUCGGUGGGUGGUGCCGCCGUUUAAUGAGAUCAUGAGAUUGGAAAGACAGGAGUGUUAGCAGGCUUAGGAGGGUAUCAAGAACCCUAUUUUGGAAGUUUAAAUGGUAAUAUGAACCUUUGGAAGUACUUUAGGUUGCUUAGAAAAUGUAAAGUGAGAAGACAGCCCAGAAUAGAACCCCAAACAAUUCCUACAUGGGAGGUUUGUAGAGAAGAAGCUAUCAGAUAAAUGGGAGAAAAGCCAGAAGAAUGAGGUGUUUUGAAAGCCAUGUGACAAAUAUCUCCUGAGGAAAGAGUGAUCAACAGCAUUAGAUGUCGCCAAGAAAUCAUAUGAGAUGAAGGUGGCAGCAGGUCAACGGAUGCAGCUAAUAAGUCAUUAGUGGCUUUAGUGAGAGCAGCUCUGGUGGAGUUGAGCAGGGGGAACCAAUUGAGUCAGACUGGAGUGAGAAGAAAGUGAAUGGGAGUGGGGGAGUGAGACAGCACGUGCAGACCUGCCUUGGGAUAACUUGACUAUGAAGAGAAGGAGAGACGGAGGAAGAGCAUAUGUCAGCUCUGGUAGAAGAAUUCAGGAGAGAAUGAAGCAGUGGAAUGAGCUUUCUCAGGAGGUAGGAGAGGCCGCACCCAGAUACCAGGUGCAAUGCAUGUAGUGGAUGGGAAAGACAGUCUGGCUUCCUUCAAAUCCUGUCUCUGCCACUUCCUAGCUGUGUACCCUUUGGCAAGUUAUUUAAUACCUUGGAGGCUGUUUCCUCACCUGCAAAAUAGGGAGAAUAAUAGUAAUUACCAUAAAGGAUUGUUUGGGAAGAUUAGUUUAAAAAUAUGAAAUAAAGUAGUGCCUGGCACAUAGGGCUGUUUAAGAGUUUGCUGUUAUUAUCAUUAAAAAAAAGAAGAUGGAUGCAAAUGAACAUAGGGCUGUGGACUGGAGAAGACAGGGAGAUUCUGUUGGGAUAGCUUGGCUUCUCUUUUCUGUUUUUUUCUUUUUUCUUUUCUUUUUUUUUUUUUUUGAGAUGGAGUCUAGCUCUGUCACCCAGGCUGGAGUGCAGUGGCACGAUCUCAGCUCACUGCAACUACCACCUCCUGGGUUCAAGCGAUUCUCCUGCCUCAGCCUCCCGAAUAACUGGGACUGCAGGCGCAUGUUGCCAAGCCCGGCUAAUUUUUGUAUUUUAUUGGAGACAUGGUUUCACUAUGUUGGCCAGGCUGGUCUCAAACUCCUGACCUUAUGAUCCAUCCGCCUUGGCCUCCCAAAGUGCUGGGAUUACAGGCAUGAGCCAUCGUGCCCAGCCUGGCUUCUGUUUAUGAAGAAUGAGGCAUUAGUUAAGUGCAUGUAUAUUGGAGGGCAUGAGGGGAGAGGGUUGUAGAUAAGCAGAACCUCACAAUUAUUUCCUCAGCAUCUCCCUAUUGCAUCUAAAGAGCAAACAAGAGAGGGCAAGUUCUUACGGUGGCAUGAAAUCGGCUCACUUUGGUACCAGGAAGAGGUGCAGCCACAGCCCCCUGGGAUUGCAAACAGGCUGGGAUCUCUCCUGGCAUCGAGGAAGGGGAUGCUGACUGUGAUCCAGUCCAGCCUCUGCCCUCUGAGUCCUCCCCUGCUCUGGCAUGCCUGCCUGGGUUUUUAUGUCAUUGGAAUGUAGCUUUUCUUCCUGUGGUUCGAAAGCUUUACUGGUCUUUCCUGUUGCUCUCCCUGAAGAUUGAUGGUACAGCCUUGGCCCCUCCUAGCUGUGAAACUUUUUCAGGAUCUCGUUUCUUUAGUGACUUUGCGGAAAGGAAAGUAAUGGAAACACUCCCUUUACACCAGAGAUUCUCAAUCUUGGUUGUACAUUUGAAUCACCUGGAGAGCUUUUAAAAUUUCCUAUGCCCAGGCUGCACCGCAGAUUAAUUGAGUCAGAAUCUCUGGUGGGUGGGAUCCUGAUAGCAGUCAAUUUAAAAUCUGGCUUUGUUUGCACGUGUCUCUCUAUUGCUAAAUGUCUACAACAGAGGGAAACAGUGUGCCUAAGUGCCUUACCUGCAUAAGCGCUCAAUCAGUUGCUUACUUGUAUCUUCCCAUUGCUUUCAUUUGUCUCUUGAUGUCUUUAUGACACACAUGAACUAGUAAGACUCCUUUCCUUUUGUUGAUUUUUGGGUUUUGUUUAGGUUAAAGAGACUACAUUAACCAACUGCCAAUAAAAUUGGACUGGAUAAUUUUCAAGCGGGCAAAAACUACUCAUCCUUUACUCAUUUGGCCAGAGGCUGGGACUCCUGAGGAGUGUGCACUGCAUGGUAGCUAAAAUCCAACCCAUUCAGCCAGGACUCAUACGAAAACAGGAACACACGAAAAGUCCUUAGGGUCGGACAGUUCGAAGACAGAGCUAGCUCAGUUUGCACCUUAGGAAUGAGACCUGGUCAUGCCUGCUGAUCCAUACUUUAAUGUGUCUCAGCUAUUUGGUCUUCCUAUCUUAUUUUUCUCAAUUAUGAAAUAAUGCAAAGAGCCCUAAUGAUUGACGGCUCUUGUCCUAGGAAGCUCAACUUUCCAUUCAGGCCGAGAUUUGUAAUAUGAUGUGAUGUGAGAAUUCCAAAAAAGCUUUAUCACUGUCCCCUUGAACAAGCCUUCCUUUAUUUUCUACUCUGCUGCCUACUAUACCACCAUUACUGAUCUGUAGAGUCCUCAUGUGCUACUAGGCAGGUCCCUUGAAAAUGCAAAUCUAUAUCAAAUCCUGUGGAUACAUGUAUUCUGUGUGUGUAUAUAUAUAUAUGUGUAUAUAUAUAUAUAUAUUCCUUUCUCAUGUGGCAGCAGUGGUAGGAGCAUGAGAGAACCUCACUUCAAAGGAAGUGGUAAAAGGGCCUAACAGUCUAAAGAGAACAGUGCUGUUCCAUAUGGGAACCUCAACCCACAUGUGGGUUACUGAAUACUUGAAAUGUGACGUCCAAAUCUAGAUGUACUGUAAGUGUAAAAUACAUACUGGAUUUCAAAGAGUUAGUGUAAAUAAGAAGUGAAAUACCUCAUUGACACAUUUUGUAAAUGGAUUAGAUGUGGAGAUGAUAUUUUGCAUGUCAAAUAUGUUAUUAAAAUUAAUUUCACCUGUCA